CUGUGUCCCGCACCGCCGGUUCACCGCCUGUCGGUGUCAAACUGGCGUGUAUGCGGGACGUCCUGUCGGUGGUGGUCUGGGGCUACGUUGGCCCUAACGGUUGUCCAUGCGACAUCCCGAAGGCUGGCGUAUGUUUCCGGCCGCCUUUUCAAUCCCGCCGCGGUGCUCUUUACCGAGUGUCGAGGCGGGCCGGCACGUUUACUUUGAACAAAUUAGAGUGCUUCAAGCAGGCUCUUUUCUGCCUGCAUACUGUGUGCAUGGAAUAAUGGAAUAGGACCUCGGUUCUAUUUUGUUGGUUUUCGGAAUCUGAGGUAAUGAUCAAUGGGGACAGGCGGGGGCAUUCGUAUUGCGACGUUAGAGGUGAAAUUCUUGGAUCGUCGCAAGACGGACCGAAGCGAAAGCAUUUGCCAAGUAUGUUCUCGUCGAUCAAGAACGAAAGUUAGAGGUUCGAAGGCGAUCAGAUACCGCCCUAGUUCUAACCAUAAACUAUGCCUGCCAGCGAUCCGCCGGCGUUCCUCCGAUGACCCGGCGGGCAGCUUCCGGGAAACCAGAGCCUUUGGGUUCCGGGGGAAGUAUGGUUGCAAAGCUGAAACUUAAAGGAAUUGACGGAAGGGCACCACCAGGAGUGGAGCCUGCGGCUUAAUUUGACUCAACACGGGAAAACUCACCAGGCCCGGACACCGGAAGGAUUGACAGAUUGAGAGCUCUUUCUUGAUUCGGUGGGUGGUGGUGCAUGGCCGUUCUUAGUUGGUGGAGCGAUUUGUCUGGUUAAUUCCGAUAACGAACGAGACUCUAGCCUACUAACUAGACGUAUCUGGUAUCCACAAUCGUGCUACCGGCGAUAAAAUUUCUUCUUAGAGGGACAGGCGGCUGUAGCCGCACGAGACUGAGCAAUAACAGGUCUGUGAUGCCCUUAGAUGUCCUGGGCCGCACGCGCGCUACACUGAAGGAGUCAGCGUGUCUUCCCUGUCCGAAAGGACCGGGUAACCCGCUGAACCUCCUUCGUGCUAGGGAUUGGGGCUUGCAAUUGUUCCCCAUGAACGAGGAAUUCCCAGUAAGCGCGAGUCAUAAGCUCGCGUUGAUUACGUCCCUGCCCUUUGUACACACCGCCCGUCGCUACUACCGAUUGAAUGAUUUAGUGAGGUCUUCGGACUGGUGCGCGGAGGCGGCAUCUGUUGCUUCCGAUGUUGUCGGAAAGAUGACCAAACUUGAUCAUU
rnacentral:rRNA from 1 species